UGAUGAAAGCGUUACCCUUGAAAUCAACCGCGACGGCGUUCGCGACGGGGCGAUGACCGGAGGUUCCAUCGGAAGGGAGAGGUGUUAAGGAGAUGCGAUGGCGAGAUCGGAGGUCGUAGGAGGCGAGGGCAUUGAAUUCUGGGAGAGGUGGGGCGUGGACGGCGGCGAGGAGGCGGCUGUUGACGGAAUCGAUGGCAAGGCCUAAGAUCGAGGCGUUUUCGGGGAGGCUGGGAUCGCGGAUAAGAGUUUCGGCGACGCCGGCGUCGGAGACGGAGACGAGAGUGCGUUGGUGGAGUGAGCCGACGACGAAAUGCUGGGCUGAUGUGUCCCAAACGAGGCCCUCCGGGUAGAGAUUUGGGGAUCGGAAAUCGAUAAGGUGGGGCUUUCGAGCUAGGGUUUGGGAGAGGAACAAUUGGAGGAAGACGAAUAGGAGAAUUGGAGAGCGAUUAACGGGCGCCAUGGGAUUGAUUUGAGAUUAG
rnacentral:lncRNA from 1 species